rnacentral:rRNA from 1 species
UUGACGAUGGAUCACCAGUGAGUGGCGGACGGGUGAGUAACACGUAGGUAACCUGCCCCGGAGCGGGGGAUAACAUUUGGAAACAGAUGCUAAUACCGCAUAACAACAAAAGCCACAUGGCUUUUGUUUGAAAGAUGGCUUUGGCUAUCACUCUGGGAUGGACCUGCGGUGCAUUAGCUAGUUGGUAAGGUAACGGCUUACCAAGGCGAUGAUGCAUAGCCGAGUUGAGAGACUGAUCGGCCACAAUGGAACUGAGACACGGUCCAUACUCCUACGGGAGGCAGCAGUAGGGAAUCUUCCACAAUGGGCGCAAGCCUGAUGGAGCAACACCGCGUGAGUGAAGAAGGGUUUCGGCUCGUAAAGCUCUGUUGUUGGAGAAGAACGUGCGUGAGAGUAACUGUUCACGCAGUGACGGUAUCCAACCAGAAAGUCACGGCUAACUACGUGCCAGCAGCCGCGGUAAUACGUAGGUGGCAAGCGUUAUCCGGAUUUAUUGGGCGUAAAGCGAGCGCAGGCGGUUGCUUAGGUCUGAUGUGAAAGCCUUCGGCUUAACCGAAGAAGUGCAUCGGAAACCGGGCAACUUGAGUGCAGAAGAGGACAGUGGAACUCCAUGUGUAGCGGUGGAAUGCGUAGAUAUAUGGAAGAACACCAGUGGCGAAGGCGGCUGUCUGGUCUGCAACUGACGCUGAGGCUCGAAAGCAAGGGUAGCGAACAGGGAUUAGAUACCCUGGUAGUCCAUGCC